UACGUAGGUGGCAAGCGUUGUCCGGAAUUAUUGGGCGUAAAGCGCGCGCAGGUGGUUUCUUAAGUCUGAUGUGAAAGCCCACGGCUCAACCGUGGAGGGUCAUUGGAAACUGGGGAACUUGAGUGCAGAAGAGGAAAGUGGAAUUCCAAGUGUAGCGGUGAAAUGCGUAGAGAUUUGGAGGAACACCAGUGGCGAAGGCGACUUUCUGGUCUGUAACUGACACUGAGGCGCGAAAGCGUGGGGAGCGACAGG
rnacentral:rRNA from 1 species